rnacentral:tRNA from 1 species
GUAGAUAUAGUUUAACAAAAACAUUAGAUUGUGGUUCUAAAAACAGAGGUUAAACCCCUCUUAUCCACCG